UUCGACCAAAUCGCGUUGAAACACCGGUUCGCGUACGAUCACCGAAGUUAAGCAAUGUCGAGCUUUAUCGGUACCUUGAUGGGUGACCACGUG